rnacentral:rRNA from 1 species
UACGUAGGGGGCGAGCGUUGUCCGGAUUUAUUGGGCGUAAAGAGCGUGUAGGCGGCCAGGUAGGUCCGUUGUGAAAACUCGAGGCUCAACCUCGAGACGUCGGCGGAAACCCUCUGGCUAGAGUCCGGAAGAGGAGAGUGGAAUUCCUGGUGUAGCGGUGAAAUGCGCAGAUAUCAGGAAGAACACCCGUGGCGAAGGCGGCUCUCUGGGACGGUACUGACGCUGAGACACGAAAGCGUGGGGAGCAAACAGG